GCAUGCACCAGAUUCUGAAACCUAUUCCCUCUCAUCUUGAGCAGUUUUCUAAGUUCCAGAUUUGAUUUCAAACUACCUUCCAGCCGUCUCCACCUGGGUUUCCUACAAGUACUUCACACUUAAAAUACAGCACUCAUUGAGGCAGCAUUCUGUCCAGUAUCAACGGCGUUUAACGUGUAUCCAAAAUACGCUUGUUGUCAUGGAUAUAUCUUUCUGAAUUCCCUGAUUCUUUUCAUUUUUCUCCUUAUGUCUUUUCUCCUUAUGUUUCUAUUUCAGUUCCUGGACAUAAUCCUCAGACCUCAUUCUACUUUUUUUGUUUUUAUUCCAUAGACUCCACUUACAAUUAUAACUUUACUGAACAUUCUAUUUAUAACUUUGUUUCUCUAUUUCAGAAAUAAAAGUAGGGAUUGCCUUUAAAACGCCAUCCCAUGCUGUGGCUUUUGUAAUAUAUAUCUUGCCUUAAAGAAAAAGUCUCAGAGGAUGCUACUGCAGAGUUUUAGAGACAAGAGGAAUAAAUGGCAAAUUUUCCACUUCAUCCCUUCUUCCAGAUAAUAGCCACAGAUGAUGAAGUGGAGUCAACAGAAUUUGACUUAGUUCAAGCCAUCUUCAAUUUAGCUGAUCUUUCAAUAUUAGCAGGAGAGAAAUGAGGAGAUCCAGACAAUUUUAGUAGAACUCUCAGAAGGAAAUGCAGUCAACUGUACCUGAGGGACGAGUGAGAAGAAGGUAUUUACUGAGCUUAUACCAAUAUUGACAGAAGCACAACACAUCCAUGUUUUCCUUGCGCAAAGUCCAAAAGAAGGCUGUGGAAUCUUGAACGAGGAACUCAACUCAGUUUUCUCCCUCAGAGUGGAAAGAUACAAAAGUGUAUCCUUGGAGAAGUGAUAUAUUUUACAAAAUUUAGUUCAAUUUUUAAACAUAGACUAGAAAACUCUCAACAAAGUUAGCAUUUUUUUUCAAUUUAAUAUUUAAUUUAAUAUUUCCCACUCGGUGAUAAGUGAUUCACAGUGCUUCUGAAGACCUACUCUUCGUUCAUUUGUGUAGCAAAACAUUCAAUGUGCUCACUGAAUGUGAUAUAUCAGGCACUACAGUAGGCAUUUAGUAACAAUAGUGAAAAGAAGGAGGAGUCCCUGUCCUUACCUAGUAUAUAUAGUCCAUUGGGGAAGCCAGACAUUAAACAUAUUAUGACAACAUGCAUAUAAAUUAUGGUGAGAUAGGAUGUCAGGUCCUGAAGGAUAAGCUGGUAUGGAGGGAAAACACUGGCUCAAUGAAAGUUUCUAUCAGGAGAAGAAUAUUUAAUAAAGUUUGAAGUGUCUACA
rnacentral:lncRNA from 1 species